CCACUCAAUGAUUUUGAGAUGGUUUCAUUUUUACUUGUUGGUUUGGGCAGUGAGUUUGAUUCGUUUGUAACCUCUGUUACCACCCGUGUGGACCCCAUGUCCAUUGAAGACUUAUAUGCGCACCUGUUGACUCAUGAAA